GAGAGCUGUAGGACUUGGGGGUGGCAAGGGUGCCAGGACAAAUGGUAGGAUAGCCAUGGGCUUGGGGAAGCUGAUCUCUGCUCUUUCCAGCUGUCCCCUCUCUGGGCGUCCCAGCAAGCGGCCCCCAUUCCCUGGCUCUGCUUCAAAGGCACCUCCAUACUGGGACCACGUGGAGCAGGGUAGAGGUGGGACUCCUUCCUCCAGCCCCCUAAAAAGAGCCUGCUUAAUGCCUUUCUCAGACUGGCCCUAAAGGACACAUUCCUUGGCCAGAUAUCCUUGCCACCUAAGAGACACCACUACUCCACAGUGUGUGGGCUAGGAUAAGGCACAGCCUGGGGAGGGGGCUCUGAAGGGGCUGAACAGACAGGCCAGCCUGACCUCCAGCUGCUCCUGCACUGAGCUGGAUGGCCACCCUGUGACACCCAUCUGCAGAGGGCCCAGAACCAAAGGUGCCAGGGCUGCAGGACUCAGGGGGAGAUGGUCCGACGGGAGGUCUGGGGAGGGAGCGCACAGCCAGCACUGGUCUGUGUGUGGUCUGGCCUGGCCUCACCUGACCAAGAGAAGGGCUCCUGCCCACAGAGAAACUUUAGGGCCAGCCCACCCUCUGCAACUACCCCAGCCCUGGGGUCCUGGGGUUAGGCUAGGAGAGUCCCAGCUGCAACCUCCUGGGAGCAGGAGAGAAGGUGUCUGUCAGAUUUAGGCCUGGGACCGGAAUGCAGGAACAGAGAAACUGAGGUUUGGAGGCACAGGGACGCAGGCUUUAGUGAUCCCGGCCUGAGGCAGGGUCAGAGGGCCCUGCUGGUGGGCGCUGGUAGGUGGGUGACCAGGGACUGUUAGCUACAGGGAGUGUGCUUCCUUGCACCUGGGAGGAUGCAGCCAGCUCUGCCCUCAGACUCCCGAGGCACUUCCUGGCCAGGGACCUGAAAGCUGCAUUUGCCUGUGUUUUGAGAGUGAAAUGAUUCAGAAACAAGGACUCAAGUGGUCUCUCUCGCGGAGCAGGU
rnacentral:lncRNA from 1 species